CAAAACUAGGAGGGGGCAAAGUCGUCAGCACAUUUCAUGGAAGCAGAAGUAGCGGAACCGAGAGGAGGCUUGGGGGCACGUGACACCCUGCACAUCUCACACACACACCUUUACCCUAAGUGGCCCCCUUUUUUUUACCGCAGAUGCCCCCAUCCAGCUACAUAAUUCUCAUGGAAAGUGACGACAACAGCUUCUGUCUCCGCCCCUGACCCCGAACCCGACGACUUUGCCAGGCUUCCUGUGAGUGAAAGAGACUUUCCUCACUGACUUCCUGUCCCAAUUGUUCACCGUGUGGUUGGCGCUCAUGCGUGCCAGUCGACGAACAAACACCACUGGCUCGUUCCCCGGCGGCCCUCGUCCAAGAACCCGCCGCACACUCCUGCCCACCCCAUUGACUAGCCUACUUCUCUUUUAUCAUGAGACAUUGUAGUCAAAAACCAAAAUUAUGAUAUUCAGGAUGUUAGAAUGCUCAUCAAAUGUGUG